rnacentral:rRNA from 1 species
CCAGACUCCUACGGGAGGCAGCAGUAGGGAAUCUUCGGCAAUGGACGGAAGUCUGACCGAGCAACGCCGCGUGAGUGAAGAAGGUUUUCGGAUCGUAAAGCUCUGUUGUAAGAGAAGAACGAGUGUGAGAGUGGAAAGUUCACACUGUGACGGUAUCUUACCAGAAAGGGACGGCUAACUACGUGCCAGCAGCCGCGGUAAUACGUAGGUCCCGAGCGUUGUCCGGAUUUAUUGGGCGUAAAGCGAGCGCAGGCGGUUAGAUAAGUCUGAAGUUAAAGGCUGUGGCUUAACCAUAGUAUGCUUUGGAAACUGUUUAACUUGAGUGCAGAAGGGGAGAGUGGAAUUCCAUGUGUAGCGGUGAAAUGCGUAGAUAUAUGGAGGAACACCGGUGGCGAAAGCGGCUCUCUGGUCUGUAACUGACGCUGAGGCUCGAAAGCGUGGGGAGCAAACAGGAUUAGAUACCCUGGCAGUCCACGCCGUAAACGAUGAGUGCUAGGUGUUAGGUCCUUUCCGGGACUCAGUGCCGCAGCUAACGCAUUAAGCACUCCGCCUGGGGAGUACGACCGCAAGGUUGAAACUCAAAGGAAUUGACGGGGGCCCGCACAAG